rnacentral:pre_miRNA from 1 species
AUUUUAUGUUGAAGUAUUUUCGGGGUUUCUUAGCGGCAUUUGCCUCAAGUUCACCGCAAUGCCCUUGGAAAUCCCAAAAGACACUCAACACCU